rnacentral:rRNA from 1 species
UACGUAGGGUGCAAGCGUUGUCCGGAAUUAUUGGGCGUAAAGAGCUCGUAGGCGGCUUGUUGCGUCGGCUGUGAAAUCCCGAGGCUCAACCUCGGGUCUGCAGUCGAUACGAGCAAACUAGAGUGUUGCAGGGGAGACUGGAAUUCCUGGUGUAGCGGUGAAAUGCGCAGAUAUCAGGAAGAACACCAAUGGCGAAAGCAGCUCUCUGGGACGGUACUGACGCUGAGACGCGAAAGCGUGGGGAGCGAACAGG